AUCGAACGCUGGCGGCAGGCCUAACACAUGCAAGUCGAACGAGUGGCGGACGGGUGAGUAAUGUCUGGGAAACUGCCUGAUGGAGGGGGUUAACUACUGGAACCGGUAGCUAAUACCGCAUACCAUCAGAUGUGCCCAGAUGGGAUUAGCUUGUUGGUGGGGUAACGGCCCACCAAGGCGACGAUCCCUAGCUGGUCUGACAGGAUGACCAGCCGCAGUGGAACUGAGACACGGACCAGACUCCUACGGGAGGCAGCAGUGGGGAAUAUUGCGCAAUGGGCGCAUGCCUGAUGCAGCCAUGCCGCGUGUAUGAAGAAGGCCUUGGGGUUGUAAAAUUCUUUCAGCGGGGAGGCGGUACCUGCAGAAGAUGCAAGGGCUAACAACGUGCCAGCAGCCGCGGUAAUAC
rnacentral:rRNA from 1 species